GACGAACGCUGGCGGCGUGCUUAACACAUGCAAGUCGAACGCUGAAGCCCUUCGGGGUGGAUGAGUGGCGAACGGGCGAGUAACACGUGGGUAAUCUGCCCUGCACUCUGGGAUAAGCCUUGGAAACGGGGUCUAAUACCGGAUAGGACACAUCGCCGCAUGGUGUGUGUGUGGAAAGUUCCGGCGGUGCAGGUUGAGCCCGCGGCCUAUCAGCUUGUUGGUGGGGUGAUGGCCUACCAAGGCGACGACGGGUAGACGGCCUGAGAGGGUGACCGGCCACACUGGGACUGAGACACGGCCCAGACUCCUACGGGAGGCAGCAGUGGGGAAUCUUGCGCAAUGGGCGAAAGCCUGACGCAGCAACGCCGCGUGGGGGAUGACGGCCUUCGGGUUGUAAACCUCUUUCGACCGGGACGAAGGAUUCGUUUGACGGUACCGGUAGAAGAAGCACCGGCUAACUACGUGCCAGCCGCCGCAGUAA
rnacentral:rRNA from 1 species